CUGUAGGUGACCCUUAGGUAGAUUCUUUAUGUAGAAAAUAUCAUAAAAUAUAAUGUUCGUUAAGCUUCCAUUAUCAACCAAAAUUCUCUUUAAAUCAUAAUUUUCAAUGGUGAGAAAAAUUACAACAGUAUUGUUAUAGAAAUUCUGGACACCCUCAGCAUCAGCAUCUGAGGAGGAGAUGACCUCACUUGACCUCUACCUCUUUGCUGCUGAGCUUCCCAUAUGGGCUAGCUGAGCAUACAUCCUUUAUGCAGAUGAGCAUGUUUGACCAACUAUUAGUCCAUCUGAGAUGAUUUUAAGUUGGUUGAUUCUCUAUAUAUAGCUCGAGAGCAGGCUACUCCCGACUAGAAUCACCCUUGGUUCUGAUAUGGGUACUAAGAAAGCUCCAUUUGAUAAGGGCCUCGAUCUCAUUAUUCAACUAAAUGCCAUCCUCGAUAUUAUGCCCUUAGCCCCUUGAAACCAAUAGAAUUUACUCUUAUCAUAAGGAGUAGCUAGUCUCAUCUUACGGGGCCACUUGACGUACUUUCAAUUUUUGAUCUCCAUAAGGAUCUUUCCUCGAGAGAUGUUAAGAGGUGUUUAUCUUUUAAACCUCCGAGGAGGGUUUCUCCGUCAUUGAGAGAUCUCCUUCUUAGGCUUCUUGCGGGGCUCAUCUAGGACAUGCCUAGGCCGCUUAUUUUUCUUCUUGUCAAAUUUUUCACUACAGUGAUCUACCAGAGCCUCCUCAGCAUUGAGGUACUUUUCUACUCGAUCCAUGAGUUUGACAUAGUCAUUCAUGAACAUUUUUUCAAGAAAAAGAGGAACUAGCUUGUCUUCAUCCCUCUUCUCAUAGCUGACAUCGUGACAAAGUGGUUUAGGUCAUGGAUCCUUGGAAUAGUCAUAUUGAAAUAGUCGAUAUAGUUUUGGAGGGACUCAUCCUCCCUUUGUUUGAUAGCAAAGAGAGUGUCUAAGUCAUUUCACUACUUUUCAUUGUUCUUGAAAUGAGUAGUGAACAUCUGACCAAACUCCUCAAAAGAAUAGAUGGAGCUCAGUUGAAGCCUGACGUACCAUAUUUGUGCUGCCUUCCAAAGAGUGAUCGAGAAAGCUUGGAACAUCAAUAAGUUGUAGCUCUCUGAAAUAUCAUGAGAGCUUUGAAGUUCUUCAAAUGAUCUAAGGGGUCAGUGUCUCCAUCAAAGAUCUCGAGCAGUGGCAUCUUGAAGUGAGGAAGAAUAGGCUCCUCUAUGAUUCUCACUAAGAAUAGGGGCUCGAUGGUAAAAUCUAUAUUGUUCUCGAGCGUGACUUGAUGCUACUACAAUGCCCCAAGGUGAUGAUCCACCUCCUCUUGCUUAUGGUUGAUGUCGGCCUCCCUCUUGGAGAUCCUCUCAAAUCAAUGGGGUGAGGAAUAGGCAGAUGUGGAUUCCUCUUGAGAUGAUGAAGAGCUAGGGCAUAGGUGCUUCUUACCUUAUCCAAGGCUCCAUGGACAAGAGUGGCAGAUACAAGGAACCUUCCCCAACCUCCUAGGGUGACAAUGGUGGCUGUGUGGAACUCGCUUUAGGCUCUAGUGAGGGGAGCGAUAGUUGAGAGGAGUCUUCCUAGGCUCUAAAAAUGGGAGCGGUGACUCAACUCUAGGCUCCGAUAAGGAGAAUGGUGGCUUG
rnacentral:lncRNA from 1 species